GUGGCAGGAGGGAAAUGGGUGGGAGUGGGCUUCUAGGUUCUUGCAAAGAUUAAAACUGAACCCUCCAUUGAAAGCCUUUCAAGAUUCCCCCAGACCUGGAAACAGUGCUGGACUUGGCUGGAAAAAGGGGAGGCUGUCAGGAGGUAAAGCUGGAGAAUGCUGGAACCUCAGACCCCGAAAAGCUAAUAGACACGGCUCAUCCCUAUCGAAAACCAAGUGAGAAAUUCGUGCUUAGUCUCAUAUUUGACAAUCUGGAAUUGCUCAUUUUCAUACUCACUUUCAAUAAGAGAGAGCCCUUGAGCAAGGUUGUGAAAUAAAAUAAUUAUAGUCCUUUCAUUCAUACUGCAUUGUAUAAUUUACAUAAAGUUUUGUUAUUCAUUUUUUUAUCCGAGUCUCACAACAACCGUGUGAGGCAGGUGGAACAGGGAUUGCCAUUCCCUUCUGGCAAAAGACGAAACCGAGGCCCAGAACAGUUAAGUUACCAGAAUUCAUAGAGCCCAUUAUGUGGAACAGCCAGGCUAGAAUUCAGGCCCUUUGAGACCUUCCACGUUCCUUCCACUCUACCACGGAGAAAGGCUUGCCUUUGACAACUUGCCUGCCAGCUCCCUUGCCCACACUUGCUACUUUGAGAAACCACGCUGCUUAUAUCCACCCCUGGGAAACUUCUCAUUUGUCUCCCCCUUCCACAGCGACCUUUUCUAGGCUACACCCCCUCGUCCACACGCAGCUUUUCUCUGAUCUCAAUAACGUGUCCAUGCAGAGGAACUCUUUUUAAGGUUCUGUUUCAUGAGAGGGGCCGGGAGAACCUACCCACUGACCUAAUUUACUAAUUCUUGCUGAGAAGUUUGGGGAGUGAUUGUUACUCCUCCGAGAUAACAGCGCACUUUAAGAGAAGUUCUCAAUGCCUUACUCCAAAGCGUAGAUUCCAACUGUGAGAGUUUUAGCAUUUUGGCUUAUUUUGAAGCGCCUGCAGAUCCUAUGAUGUAAGUGCCCCUUCCCCCCAACACACAACUGGGACUAGCCCCACCUGAGUGAGCUAACAAGCUACUCGUCUAGUCCUUUGUGCAUAGGUGCCUUCUUCCUCUGAGCCCAGGGAACACAUCUUGACUCGCAGCUGAAGACUGGCUCCGUGGCCAGCUGGCACCCAGAGCUCUCCCAGGGAGAGUCAGCUUUUGGGGAGCUAACGGCACACUCCUGCCUGGUCUGGAGCGCCUGCCAUAGGUCUCCCCUUCCCGUCCCUCCAGGGAGCUGGAGCUUCUCUUUCUUCCUGAGAUGCUCAGGGAUUCUUGUCAGAGGAAGGGUAGAAGGUAUCCUCUCCAUUUACAGACCACCUGAUUUCUCCUGCAGCUGCAGUUUCCAGCAUUCUGACAGUCUUCCAUCUCAAGUAGCCUGUCUCUCUUCUCUGCCUGAGGCUUUCUUGGGCAAUGGAAGCUUGCUCUGCCUGAGCCAGGUGCAACCCGGAAGUGCAGGAUAGUAAACAUCAUUGGCGCUGACCUUCAACCAAUGGGGAUGGAAUAAAUAUCACACACUUCUCCUCCGAUGGGAUGAUUCUGAGGCAUGGUCCACAUGGUUUAUCAGAGAGUCUCCUGCAAGACUGAGUCCCAGCUGCCCACAAGAUAACUUGCUCGUUAACGUACUUGUUAGUAGCUUUUCUCCCUUCUUUGUCUCACUUUCCCCAUUUUCUUCUUGUGCUCCUGAGAUCACCUCCUAAAUAAACCACCUGUACCCAAA
rnacentral:lncRNA from 1 species